rnacentral:rRNA from 1 species
UACGAAGGGGGCUAGCGUUGUUCGGAAUUACUGGGCGUAAAGCGCACGUAGGCGGAUUGUUUAGUUAGGGGUGAAAUCCCAGGGCUCAACCCUGGAACUGCCUCUAAUACUGGCAAUCUAGAGUCCGAGAGAGGUGAGUGGAAUUCCGAGUGUAGAGGUGAAAUUCGUAGAUAUUCGGAGGAACACCAGUGGCGAAGGCGGCUCACUGGCUCGGUACUGACGCUGAGGUGCGAAAGCGUGGGGAGCAAACAGG